AGUGUAGUAUCUGUUCUUAUCAGUUUAAUAUCUGAUAUGUUCUCGAUAUGAGAAC
rnacentral:snRNA from 1 species